rnacentral:rRNA from 1 species
UACGUAGGGAGCAAGCGUUGUCCGGAAUCAUUGGGCGUAAAGCGCGCGUAGGUGGCCUCAUAAGUCCGCUGUGAAAGUCAAAGGCUCAACCUUUGAAAGCCGGUGGAUACUGUAAGGCUAGAGUACGGAAGAGGCGAGUGGAAUUCCUGGUGUAGCGGUGGAAUGCGCAGAUAUCAGGAGGAACACCAAUAGCGGAAGGCAGCUCGCUGGGACGUUACUGACACUGAGGCGCGAAGGCCAGGGAGGCAAACGGG